GGAAGGAUCAAUAUGAGGAGCGAUGCGUUGUGUGAAGCGGCGGCGCGAGCUGUCUAUUACGUAUAGUUUCUUAGUACACAUAAAAUUGCAGACAAGGGAUCUCUAGGCUCCCGCAACGAUGAAGAACGCAGCCAAGUGCGAUACGUAGUGCGAGACGCACCUGUGAGCCAUCGAGUUUUUGAACGCAUUUUGCACUCGCAAGAGUACAUCUGUCAGAGUCGGGCGACGAAUAUAAUAGUGAUUAUGUUUGGGCACUGGUGUGCUUGUAGUUGAUAUUGAGGGGAGUUAAAGUCCAAUUUCGAUCUCAUCCAUUCGCUCUGAUCAGAUGAGAGCACCCGCCGAACUUAAGCAUAUCAGUAAGCGGAGGAAAAGAAACUAACGAGGAUUCCCCCAGUAAUGGCGAAUGAAGCGGGAAGAGCCCAAAUUUGUAAUCUGGCAGCGAUGCCCGAGUUGUAUGGUGUGGAUGGGGAGGGGCGGUGGGCGUGCGCUGGAGGUGCUCUGGAAAGGGCCGCCGCAGAGGGUGACAGCCCCGUGCCAGCGCGCGGCGACUGCGUGCUCUGCGUCUUGGAGUCGAGCUGUUUGGGAAUGCAGCUCUAAGAGGUGGUAAACAGCAUCUAAGGCUAAAUAUGGGCGGGAGACCGAUAGCGAACAAGUACCGUGAGGGAAAGAUGAAAAGGACUUUGAAAAGAGGGUCAAAAGAGCGUGAAAUUGUCUGCAAGGAAGCGAAACUGGCAGGAGACGGUUGUCGGGGAGGGCGUUGGGUGCAGCGCGCCUCUUUGCUGCCAGUUACGACCCGUCUUGAAACACGGACCAAGGAGUCUAGCAGGCAUGCGAGUGUUUGGGCGUCAAACCCUUAUGCGCAGCGAAAGCAAGGCGAUUGAGAGUAAUUUCUUGCGAAUCGGUGAGAAUGUUUCGAUAUUCUACACGUAGCAUGGACGCUGGGACCCGAAAGAUGGUGAACUAUGCCUGGGCGGGGCGAAGCCAGGAGAAAUUCUGGUGGAGGCUCUUUGAGGUUCUGACGUGCAAAUCGAUCUCUGGACCUGGGGAUAGGGGCGAAAGACUAAUCGAACCAUCUAGUAGCUGGUUCCCUC
rnacentral:misc_RNA from 1 species